CAUUUUAUGUGUGCAUCAAGAAGUGUUAACCAGAUAACCUUGCACGUUUUACAUGUAAUAUCUAUUUUUUUUCUCGGAGUUUAUAGAAAAGGGUAAAGAACAAUAUGACUGCCGCAAUAUUGCUUUGUCUGGUGACCUUGCAUCUGCCUGUGAUGAUUGCUGGGGAGGAUAAAACUAGUCACGGAGAUGAUAUAGCCUGGAGACACAGACAAUCUUCCGAAAAUGGUUACCCAAGCGACGGGAUGUAUGAGGUAUUUGCUUCUGUCAGCAGUCAUAGCAGCGUGUAUAUGGCGAUGAUUUUUGUGUUUGUCGUCAUGGUGAUAGCACAUGUUGCACUUCGUUAGAGAGCGGAAGAGCUGUGGGAUCUUCAACCAGUGACAUAUUUGAGCUGAAGUAGAAUGCCAAACGGCUGACUUUCGAGACCCAAAUAUGUAUAUUCAUAAUUUUAUAGCCACUUUAUCCAUAGAUACAAGUAAAGGCUGUAACAACAAACAUUUUCUGCAACAACGUAGCUAAUGAUAUGUGAUCCGAUAUUGUACCGUGUUGGAAGUCUGACAAACACCAGAUACAAUGAAAUGACUUUUGUGACAAUUCCAUCCAAAGAAAUGUGUAGCAUCGAAAUUCUUUACGAAU
rnacentral:misc_RNA from 1 species